GAUGAAGAACGCAGCGAAAUGCGAUAAGUAGUGUGAAUUGCAGAAUUCAGUGAAUCAUCGAAUCUUUGAACGCACAUUGCGCCCCUUGGUAUCCCGAGGGGCAUGCCUGUUCGAGCGUCAUUUGUACCCUCAAGCUUUGCUUGGUGUUGGGCGUCUUGUCUCUAGCUUUGCUGGAGACUCGCCUUAAAGUAAUUGGCAGCCGGCCUACUGGUUUCGGAGCGCAGCACAAGUCGCACUCUCUAUCAGCAAAGGUCUAGCAUCCAUUAAGCCUUUUUUUCAACUUUUGACCUCGGAUCAGGUAGGGAUACCCGCUGAACUUAAGCAUAUCAAUAAGCGGAGGA
rnacentral:misc_RNA from 1 species